UACGAAGGGGGCUAGCGUUGCUCGGAAUUACUGGGCGUAAAGCGCACGUAGGCGGCUUGGUAAGUCGGGGGGUGAAAGUCAGCGGCUCAACCGCUGGACUGCCUUCGAGACUGCCUGGCUUGAGCAUGGUAGAGGCUGGCGGAAUUCCCGGUGUAGCGGUGGAAUGCGUAGAGAUCGGGAAGAACAUCGGUGGCGAAGGCGGCCAGCUGGGCCAUUGCUGACGCUGAUGCGCGACAGCGUGGGGAGCAAACAGG
rnacentral:rRNA from 1 species